rnacentral:rRNA from 1 species
UGGGGAAUCUUGGACAAUGGGGGAAACCCUGAUCCAGCAAUACCGCGUGGGUGAAGAAGGCCUGAGGGUUGUAAAGCCCUUUUAGUAAGGAGGAAGGAGUUUAAGUUAAUAGCUUGAACCUUUGACGUUACUUACAGAAAAAGCACCGGCUAACUCUGUGCCAGCAGCCGCGGUAAUACAGAGGGUGCGAGCGUUAAUCGGAAUUACUGGGCGUAAAGGGUGCGUAGGUGGUUACGUAAGUUAGGUGUGAAAGCCCCGGGCUCAACCUGGGAACUGCGCUUAAUACUGUGUAGCUAGAGUGUUGUAGAGGUAAGUGGAAUUUCCGGUGUAGCGGUGAAAUGCGUAGAUAUCGGAAGGAACACCAGUGGCGAAGGCGACUUACUGGACAAUAACUGACACUGAGGCACGAAAGCGUGGGGAGCAAACAGG